CACCACUCAAGCCUCGCUUGGUCUUGGGCGGCGGGCUCCGCGCCCGCGCCUUCAAAUCUGCCGGCUGGACGGUUGGAAUCUCAGCGUUGUGAAUCAAAUUCGCUCGGAUUUCCGGCCGGACGCGCCGUUCAAAUUUUCAUUCA
rnacentral:misc_RNA from 1 species